AACUUGCUCCCUUAGGUCAGCGGCGGACGGGUGAGUAACACGUGGGUAACCUGCCUGUAAGACUGGGAUAACUCCGGGAAACCGGGGCUAAUACCGGAUGCUUGAUUGAACCGCAUGGUUCAAUCAUAAAAGGUGGCUUUUAGCUACCACUUACAGAUGGACCCGCGGCGCAUUAGCUAGUUGGUGAGGUAACGGCUCACCAAGGCGACGAUGCGUAGCCGACCUGAGAGGGUGAUCGGCCACACUGGGACUGAAACACGGCCCAGACUCCUACGGGAGGCAGCAGUAGGGAAUCUUCCGCAAUGGACGAAAGUCUGACGGAGCAACGCCGCGUGAGUGAUGAAAGGUUUGGAUCGGAAAACUCUGGUCU
rnacentral:rRNA from 1 species